rnacentral:rRNA from 1 species
AUUGAACGCUGGCGGCAUGCCUUACACAUGCAAGUCGAACGGCAGCACGGGAGCAAUCCUGGUGGCGAGUGGCGAACGGGUGAGUAAUGUAUCGGAACGUACCUUUCAGUGGGGGAUAACGUAGCGAAAGUUACGCUAAUACCGCAUAUUCUGUGAGCAGGAAAGCAGGGGAUCGCAAGACCUUGCGCUGAUUGAGCGGCCGAUAUCAGAUUAGCUAGUUGGUGAGGUAAAGGCUCACCAAGGCGACGAUCUGUAGCGGGUCUGAGAGGAUGAUCCGCCACACUGGAACUGAGACACGGUCCAGACUCCUACGGGAGGCAGCAGUGGGGAAUUUUGGACAAUGGGCGCAAGCCUGAUCCAGCCAUGCCGCGUGAGUGAAGAAGGCCUCGGUUGUAAGA